GGCGGACGGGUGAGUAACACGUAGGCAACCUGCCCGUAAGCUCGGGAUAACAUGGGGAAACUCAUGCUAAUACCGGAUAGGGUCUUCUCUCGCAUGAGAGGAGACGGAAAGGUGGCGCAAGCUACCACUUACGGAUGGGCCUGCGGCGCAUUAGCUAGUUGGUGGGGUAACGGCCUACCAAGGCGACGAUGCGUAG
rnacentral:rRNA from 1 species